CAGUCGCCGCGGGAAUACGAAGGGUGCAAGCGUUACUCGGAAUUACUGGGCGUAAAGCGUGCGUAGGUGGUGGUUUAAGUCCGUUGUGAAAGCCCUGGGCUCAACCUGGGAAUUGCAGUGGAUACUGGGUCACUAGAGUGUGGUAGAGGAUAGUGGAAUUCCCGGUGUAGCGGUGAAAUGCGUAGAGAUCGGGAGGAACAUCAGUGGCGAAGGCGGCCAUCUGGGACAACACUGACGCUGAGGCACGAAAGCGUGGGGAGCAAACAGGAUUAGAUACCCCCGUAGUCCCUGUCUCUUAUAC
rnacentral:rRNA from 1 species